rnacentral:rRNA from 1 species
GACGAACGCUGGCGGCGUGCCUAAUACAUGCAAGUUGAGCGAUGAAGAUUGGUGCUUGCACCAAUUUGAAGAGCAGCGAACGGGUGAGUAACGCGUGGGGAAUCUGCCUUUGAGCGGGGGACAACAUUUGGAAACGAAUGCUAAUACCGCAUAACAACUUUAAACAUAAGUUUUAAGUUUGAAAGAUGCAAUUGCAUCACUCAAAGAUGAUCCCGCGUUGUAUUAGCUAGUUGGUGAGGUAAAGGCUCACCAAGGCGAUGAUACAUAGCCGACCUGAGAGGGUGAUCGGCCACAUGGGGACUGAGACACGGCCCAAACGCCUAAGGGAGGCAGCAGAAGGGAAUCUUCGGCAAUGGACGAAAGUCUGACCGAGCAACGCCGCGGGAGUGAAGAAGGUUUUGGGAUCGAAAAACUCUGUUGGGAGAGAAGAACGUGGGGGAGAGGGGAAAGCCCAUAAAGGGACGGUAACAACCAAGAAAGGGACGGAUAAAUACGU